CCUUACCAACCCUUGACAUCCCUGGACCGCUGGAGAGAUUCAGCUUUCUCGUAAGAGACCAGGUGACAGGUGCUGCAUGGCUGUCGUCAGCUCGUGUCGUGAGAUGUUCGGUUAAGUCCGGCAACGAGCGCAACCCACAUCCCUAGUUGCCAGCAGUUCGGCUGGGCACUCUAUGGAAACUGCCCGUGAUAAGCGGGAGGAAGGUGUGGAUGACGUCAAGUCCUCAUGGCCCUUACGGGUUGGGCUACACACGUGCUACAAUGGCAGUGACAAUGGGUUAAUCCCCAAAAACUGUCUCAGUUCGGAUUGGGGUCUGCAACUCGACCCCAUGAAGUCGGAAUCGCUAGUAAUCAGCGUAACAGCAUGACGCGGUGAAUACUGUUCCCGGGCCUUGUACACACCGCACCGUCACACCAUGGGAGUUGGUUACUACCCGACGGCCGUGCGCCAACCUUCGAGGAGGCAGCGGACCACG
rnacentral:rRNA from 1 species